AAAAAUGUUUUUUUUUAAAACUAUGAUAAGUCCAACCUGAAUUGUGCUAUUCUCCAUGCUGACAUCUCUCCACAGAGCAAACUAUCCAAGGUUCAAACAUGACCUUGCCUAAGACCGUUGCUCAAACAUCUUAGAAUCCCAGAGAACGUUAGCUGGAUACGGGGAUGUUCUCAUCCAGAACAUCCCUUUAUAUGUGCCCAAG
rnacentral:lncRNA from 1 species